rnacentral:rRNA from 1 species
AGUGAACGCUGGCGGUAGGCCUAACACAUGCAAGUCGAACGGCAGCACAGGAGAGCUUGCUCUCUGGGUGGCGAGUGGCGGACGGGUGAGGAAUACAUCGGAAUCUACUUUUUCGUGGGGGAUAACGUAGGGAAACUUACGCUAAUGCCGCAUACGACCUACGGGUGAAAGCAGGGGACCUUCGGGCCUUGCGCGAUUGAAAGAGCCGAUGUCGGAUUAGCUAGUUGGCGGGGUAAAGGCCCACCAAGGCGACGAUCCGUAGCUGGUCUGAGAGGAUGAUCAGCCACACUGGAACUGAGACACGGUCCAGACUCCUACGGGAGGCAGCAGUGGGGAAUAUCGGACAAUGGGCGCAAGCCUGAUCCAGCCAUACCGCGUGGGUGAAGAAGGCCUUCGGGUUGUAAAGCCCUUUUGUUGGGAAAGAAAUCCAGCUGGCUAAUACCCGGUUGGGAUGACGGUACCCAAAGAAUAAGCACCGGCUAACUUCGUGCCAGCCGCCGCGGUAA